rnacentral:rRNA from 1 species
AUUGAACGCUGGCGGUAGGCCUAACACAUGCCAGUCGAGCGGAUGAAGGGAGCUUGCUCCUGGAUUCAGCGGCGGACGGGUGAGUAAUGCCUAGGAAUCUGCCUGGUAGUGGGGGAUAACGUCCGGAAACGGGCGCUAAUACCGCAUACGUCCUGAGGGAGAAAGUGGGGGAUCUUCGGACCUCACGCUAUCAGAUGAGCCUAGGUCGGAUUAGCUAGUUGGUGGGGUAAAGGCCUACCAAGGCGACGAUCCGUAACUGGUCUGAGAGGAUGAUCAGUCACACUGGAACUGAGACACGGUCCAGACUCCUACGGGAGGUAGCAGUGGGGAAUAUUGGACAAUGGGCGAAAGCCUGAUCCAGCCAUGCCGCGUGUGUGAAGAAGGUCUUCGGAUUGUAAAGCACUUUAAGUUGGGAGGAAGGGCAGUAAGUUAAUACCUUGCUGUUCUGACGUUACCAACAGAAUAAGCACCGGCUAACUUCGUG